CUAAAACUUUGCCUUCCAAGUGUUGCUUUCUAAAUAUCAACUUUCCAAUAAAAUAGCAAAAAUCCUACUCUAUUUGUUAAUUGAAUAAUCAUAGAACUUUUUUUGAAAAAGAAAAACAUUGCUUAGCUCACAAAACAUCCAGAACAAUGCACUGAACUUUUUCUAAAGUUUUCAUUAAAAGAAGCAUUUGCAACAAAGAGAAAAAGAAGUCCAGCCUCAACAACCAAAAAGUACUCUUGAUAAUGAAGACCUAACUUUCAGUGAAAACAGAUCCAAACAUCAAAACGAUCCGAAGAAGAUGAAAAAAAGUGAAGAAUCAUAACGACCACGUCUUCCAAAGAGCAAAGAUGGACAAGUCUUAAAGGUUGAGAAAAAGACUUUUGAGCAGAAUUUAUUUUCUUCAGUAAAAAAUAUUCUCGAUAAAAGUCAUCAAAAUUCUCAGAGUGGCGGUGAAGCUUUCGGUGGUGGUCGAGGUUCCGGAGAAGGCUCGAGUCCCAUUUUACUGCUUCAAAAUAGGUUCAAAAGCACGUGCCCGAGAGCAUCAGUAGCAGAAAGUCCAGUUGAUCAGAGAAAGACUCCGAGCUGCUCAGAGUUGACAGAAGUCUUAUGCAGAUGUGCGCAGAAAGGAUCUUGAGUUUGAGAUUGGUGAUUAUGUCUAUAUAAAGAUCUCUCCCAUGAAGGGAGUGAAGAGAUUCAGCAAGAAGGGAAAGAUCAGCCCCUGAUAUGUCAAUCCCUUCAAAAUUCUCAGUCGCUUCGGCAAGGUAGCUUAUGAGCUCAAAUUGCCUUAAGAUAUAGCCUCAGUUAAUCAAGUCUUCCCUGUCUCUUUACUCAAGAAGAGCAUAGGUGAACCAGCGGUCAUAGUCCCUAUUCAAAGCAAGAUGUUCAGAACAGCCUCUCUUAUGAAGAGAUUCCAGAUAAAAUUCUUGACUACCAGACUCGUAGACUGAGGAACAAAGAAGUACCUCUAGUCAA